AAUGACUCUCGGCAACGGAUAUCUAGGCUCUUGCAUCGAUNAAGAACGUAGCGAAAUGCGAUACUUGGUGUGAAUUGCAGAAUCCCGUGAACCAUCGAGUCUUUGAACGCAAGUUGCGCCCGAAGCCAUCAGGUUGAGGGCACGUCUGCCUGGGCGUCACAUAU
rnacentral:rRNA from 1 species